rnacentral:rRNA from 1 species
GAUGAACGCUGGCGGCGUGCCUAAUACAUGCAAGUCGAGCGAACAGACGAGGAGCUUGCUCCUCUGACGUUAGCGGCGGACGGGUGAGUAACACGUGGAUAACCUACCUAUAAGACUGUGAUAACUUUGGGAAACCGGAGCUAAUACCGGAUAAUAUAUUGAACCGCAUGGUUCAAUAGUGAAAGACGGUUUUGCUGUCACUUAUAGAUGGAUCCGCGCCGCAUUAGCUAGUUGGUAAGGUAACGGCUUACCAAGGCAACGAUGCGUAGCCGACCUGAGAGGGUGAUCGGCCACACUGGAACUGAGACACGGUCCAGACUCCUACGGGAGGCAGCAGUAGGGAAUCUUCCGCAAUGGGCGAAAGCCUGACGGAGCAACGCCGCGUGAGUGAUGAAGGUCUUCGGAUCGUAAAACUCUGUUAUUAGGGAAGAACAAAUGUGUAAGUAACUAUGCACGUCUUGACGGUACCUAAUCAGAAAGCCACGGCUAACUACGUG